AUGUAUUGUGCUGAUAAAGCACUGGACAAACAUGCAUAUAUAAUAGGACUAGCUGGCAUUUGUCAAUAGUCACAUAGCGUGGUAUACUGAAAAUAUAAAGAAAAGCAAUCAGGAUUGUCAGUCUCUUGAACUAUGUGUUUCUGGAGUUAGACUCUUAUAAUCUUCACUCACCAAGCCAUUCCCGGAGAAGUACAAGUUUCUUAAAAUGAGUUUCAAUGUAUUAGACAUACAAGUCACUUUUCCAAAUAAAAGUACCCAAAUACAAUGUUAAUCACUAUUUGAUGGGUGUGCUAUGAUUUAAAGUUUUCUCAUAUUUUUG